CACAAUAACCACAACACUUACCAGGAUUUUACCACAGUAACUGUGUUUUUACUCUACACUAUUUGUAAAGCACAGUAACCACUAAGUUUGCCAUGCCUUUAAUAUCUUUUUGUGAUGUAAUUGUAAUUCAGUGUUUUUUCUGUCUUGCAGUUACGUCGGAUUACAUACUCCACAAUAACCUGUAAUCCAGCAGAUCUUUAAAGAAGCCAUCUCUUGUAAAAUCUCUCUCUCUCUCUCUCUCUCUCUCGCUCUGCUAGAAUUAACAGGGAACUUCAACUCCACGCUCCCAAUGCUGAUAUUGAAGAAGCUGUCAAGGGGGCUGAACAAGUCCUUCAAAGGAUCAACCCUUCACAGGAAGGCCUGUCAUGAGAUUUGAAUUUGACCAUCUUGUGCAUUUAUGAAGAAGACCAAAAGCUGCAAAGGCAAACACUUCCAAUGGCAGAAACUGAGAGUUUGCAUGAUGGUAUUUUCUCAGACGCUGAAUCUGAUGUGUACAGAUGAACUCAGGAGCCUACUAGAGUUGCCAAGGAACUUGUGCUUGAACUGAAGACCAGAAACGCAAAGAAAAUCAGUCAAACCAGUCCUAAAGAAAUGAGGAAUGAACAUGGACUUCUUGUGCCCCAAAAGAAAAGACAGAAAGCUCCUAAAAUGAGCAAAUAAGCUGUGCAUCAUCUCUGUGAUUUGGGAAGGAAAUGACUGAAUAUGAUGAAGCCAGUUGAUGAAGAUAUCAAUUGAAUGGCCACCGAGUGCAUCACUGCUACCUGAACCCAUCAGUUAUCUGCUGUGAAGACUGCAUUCACAAACCGCUCUACUGCGACAGCUCAGAUGUUACGGCCUGUAAAAGUAAACAUCACAGCUAAACAACGAGAGCUAGUUGUGGUGGGAUUCUUUUGGCCAAUAUCCCCAACAAGAAUCAAUGACAUCUAGACCAGGUGGAGUGUGAGGAGGACCGUCAGAGACUCCAGCCAGCCGAGCCAUGGAUUGCUCUCACUGUUACCAUCAGGCAGACGUUAUCACAGAACCUACACCAGCAGACAGUGAGACAAGUUCCUUUCACAGGCAAUCAGACUGAACUGAACUCAUACCAGUAAAACCAUACACACCCCACCAACCUCAUAUGCCCUGCACUCUUAUCAGUUAUGCUGACUGGACUCAAUAUUAUUAUGCACCCUGACAUUCUGUUUGCACUAAUUCAUACCGUGCUUUACUGCAGAGAUGUAUGUGUACUGUGAUUAUUAUUGUUUUCAAUUCAUGCUCUUUGUAUAGCAUAAUUUUUAACAUAUAUUGUUCUCUACCUGAAUUGAGUCCCUUAUAUAUGUGUGUUGCAUAUAUAUAUAUUCAGAAUUUGUAUUUCAUAUAUAUUCAUGAAUUAAUUCAUUUGUCAUCCAUACUGUCACGCUGCAGUCUGCACCCAAGACUUUCAUCACCUGUAUACUUGUGUUCAUUGUAUUGUGACAAUAAAGAUAUUUGAUUUAAA